rnacentral:tRNA from 1 species
UUUAUUAAGGUGUCUUAAAGCACAUGAAAAUUUGAUUUUCAAAGAGAUGUUAUUCAUCUAAUAAUU